GAGAGGACAGCUGUCGUCCGGCUCCAGACCAACUGUCCUCUCCACCCGGCAGGGCAGCGAUGCCCCUUCCCAGGGGAAACCUGCCCGUAGAGCUGGGCGGCCGUCUGCGUCCCGAACACGGGCACCGGCCAGGCUGCCAGGCCGUUCUGAGAAAUUAUAGAUCUGCCGGGAGAAAGUCCACGCCCAGAAAUUUACACGGUAAACACGCACUGACACAGCGCAAAGUGCGGACUCAGCACGUUCGUGGCCGAGGACCCUCGUCGGGAAGGGAGGACAGAGCAAGAGAGCGAGCGUGAGCAGAGAGAGAGAGACAGAGAAGCCCAAGCAGGAUACUUGCUCAUCACACAGCCUGAUGUGGGGCUUGAACUCACAACCUUGAGAUCACGACCUGAGCCGAAAGCAAGAGUUGGACACUUAACCGACUGAGCCACCCAGGUGCCCCUUGUGUUUUUGAUAAAAUACUUUCUACUUA